rnacentral:misc_RNA from 1 species
GAUGAAGAACGCAGCGAAAUGCGAUAAGUAAUGUGAAUUGCAGAAUUCAGCGAAUCAUCGAAUCUUUGAACGCACAUUGCGCCCGGCAGUACUCUGCCGGGCAUGCCUGUUCGAGCGUCAUUUCAACCCUCAAGCCCUGCUUGGUGUUGGGGUCCCACGGCCGCCGUGGGCCCUGAAAGGAAGUGGCGGGCUCGCUACAACUCCGAGCGUAGUAAUUCAUUAUCUCGCUUAGGGCGUUGGGCGGCGCUCCUGCCGUUAAAGAACCAUCUUUAACUCAAGGUUGACCUCGGAUCAGGUAGGAAUACCCGCUGAACUUAAGCAUAUCAAUAAGCGGAGGA